GACAGAGGGUGCAAACGUUGCUCGGAAUUACUGGGCGUAAAGCGCGUGUAGGUGGAUUGGUGUGUCAGAUGUGAAAGCCCUGGGCUCAACCCAGGAACUGCACCUGAAACUACCAGUCUUGAGUGGUGGAGAGGGAAGUGGAAUUCCUGGUGUAGAGGUGAAAUUCGUAGAUAUCAGGAGGAACACCAGUGGCGAAGGCGGCUUCCUGGACACUGACUGACGCUGAGACGCGAAAGCGUGGGGAGCAAACAGG
rnacentral:rRNA from 1 species